rnacentral:misc_RNA from 1 species
AAGUCGUAACAAGGUUUCCGUAGGUGAACCUGCGGAAGGAUCAUUCACAAUGAGUGUUUAAUGGCACUCUAAAUCCAUUACCCACCUUGUGUGCAAUGUCGAGGGGGAGAGGAGGGAACAUUCUUUUCUUCUCCCCUUUUCAUACAUACCAAAAAACUUUUUAAUAUCAGUCUACAUCUAUUUAGAGUAUAAAAAACUCGAAAUACAACUUUCAACAACGGAUCUCUUGGCUCUC